rnacentral:lncRNA from 1 species
UUUCUUGUGAGAUUUCAAUUUCUGUUGUUAUUGUUGCUAUUUCUGUGUUUUUUUAUCAUUAUUAUGAUUAUUAUUUUUAUUAUUAGAUUAUUAGAGUCUANNNNNNNNNNNNNNNNNNNNNNNNNNGAUUCACAAUCUGUGUUAGUUGGUUAAAGAGUAUACUAUAGUAUUUAUUAGAGUCCAGAUUUAUUUUUGAUAUAAUUUGUAAAUUAAGACCAUGGUUAUAAGCAUUAAAUUUUGACCAUGUUAGUUGGUUAAAGAGUAUACAUCAGUGAUCAGUCAUCCCACAAGCACACACUUGCAGCACUUCAGUAAGAAAAUAAAACUAUGUAGUUUUGUAACUGUGUAGUUCAGUUCAUGAUGUAGCAGUUCAGUUUAAAAAUGUGAAACCUGAUGCAGUUUCACAAACCACAGUUAGUCUUUUUUCACUUUGCAAAGUCAGUUUUAAUAAAGCACAUAUGCAAAACUGUAAAAUAAAUAAACACUUCUUUUAUAGUUUUAAAAGACAGCUUCCUCUGGAAUUAUUUCUUACCGAUAAGACUCAUUUUUAGUAAACAAUGGCUUAUCACCCUUGUGCCUAGCCUAAUUGUGAUAUAUUCUCAUGUUGUAGACAGAGACUAUAUUCUCAUUAUUUCUAGCUGUUUCCUUUGUUUUAGUAAUAUUAUUAUUUAAAUGUGAUUUGAUCCUUUAGUCUUAUGGCACUGUAGGUUGUGCUGUAUAUGAAAGUUGCCCUGUAUUGUUCCCCCAUUUAUUCUUUUACUCUGUAUUUUAGUUACCCCAUAAUUCAUAAAUUACCUCAUAAUCUGAUAAGAGCUGCGAUCCUUGGAGAAUUUUGAAAAACCGAUCUAAAGGCUUUAAUUAUCCUCUUUACCAAUGGCUUGGAAACCCACUAGCUUGUAUGCAGAAGAUAUGUUGUUAGGAUAGAUCCAGGAUAUUGAAGCAACUGAUCUGGUUUCCUCUCUGAUGUAUGUAUGAUGUGUGUUUGCUGCUUGUUUGUAUCUAGCACAGGUCGGAGGCUUCUGCUUAUAUGGCUUUCAGCACCUUAUCUCUGCUAAAUUGGAUGACUUGGUUUUUUUGUGUCUUUUUGUGUUUCCUUGACAGAGGCUGACAUGAUUUUUUAGGACAGUUUGUGGACUGGUGGUGUUGAUUCUUUAUCCUUUGUGGUAUUCUAAUUUUGCAGCUGAAUCGUCUUGGUUGCAUCUCAAAUUCUCUGUCCGGUAGGCUGCGGCAGAAG